CGUAACAAGGUCUCCGUUGGUGAACCAGCGGAGGGAUCAUUACUGAGUUUACGCUCUACAACCCUUUGUGAACAUACCUAUAACUGUUGCUUCGGCGGGUAGGGUCUCCGUGACCCUCCCGGCCUCCCGCCCCCGGGCGGGUCGGCGCCCGCCGGAGGAUAACCAAACUCUGAUUUAACGACGUUUCUUCUGAGUGGUACAAGCAAAUAAUCAAAACUUUUAACAACGGAUCUCUUGGUUCUGGCAUCGAUGAAGAACGCAGCGAAAUGCGAUAAGUAAUGUGAAUUGCAGAAUUCAGUGAAUCAUCGAAUCUUUGAACGCACAUUGCGCCCGCCAGCAUUCUGGCGGGCAUGCCUGUUCGAGCGUCAUUUCAACCCUCAAGCUCUGCUUGGUGUUGGGGCCCUACAGCUGAUGUAGGCCCUCAAAGGUAGUGGCGGACCCUCCCGGAGCCUCCUUUGCGUAGUAACUUUACGUCUCGCACUGGGAUCCGGAGGGACUCUUGCCGUAAAACCCCCAAUUUUCCAAAGGUUGACCUC
rnacentral:rRNA from 1 species